rnacentral:rRNA from 1 species
UACGGAGGGAGCUAGCGUUGUUCGGAAUUACUGGGCGUAAAGCGCGCGUAGGCGGCUUUGUAAGUUAGAGGUGAAAGCCCGGGGCUCAACUCCGGAACUGCCUUUAAGACUGCAUCGCUUGAAUCCGGGAGAGGUGAGUGGAAUUCCGAGUGUAGAGGUGAAAUUCGUAGAUAUUCGGAAGAACACCAGUGGGCGAAGGCG